rnacentral:lncRNA from 1 species
GCCAAAACCAUUCUCCCAUCUUCCACUACCUUUGGUCUGACUUUGUAUAUCACGUCCUAAAAUCUGUCUCCAUCUCCGACAGUGGUGCAGUCGUACAGAUCCGACAACAGUAUAGAUCCGACAAUAAAGUCCGAUCUCCAUCUCCAACAAUCCCUUGACAAGUCCGAUCAUCUUUUGUAGGUAUCACUUCGUUUUACUUGUAUUUUAUCUUACUUGGUUUUCACUUGUUUUUAUCUUAAGAGAUGAUUCAGUAAACACACAAACCAUUUACGCACUCUUUGGAGAAAAAAUAUGAUGAGAAAAGUUAAUAAUUGACAACCAAAAAAAUAUUAUUAAAUAUGGUUUCAGAGAAAAUGGAUGAAAAAUUUUUAACUGGGUGCACGUGAACUAUCAUAAGAAUAAUAAUAAUGCGAGACAACCCAAGUACAAACUGCAUGUGAACUAUCAUAUAAAGUAAAUGCCAUUUUUUGAUCAAUUCCAGCUAGUAAUUUUCCAGAGGCCUUGAAUCUUUUGAAUUAUUAAAAUAAUGUGCAUACACACACACACACACACACACACACACACACAGAGAAUGAGAGUUUAAGUUUGUAGAAUAUAUAGAGGGAUCUUUGAGUUUCUUCAAUGACGAACAAAGUGGUGUCGAAAAUCCCGAACUAGAAUUUUCUUAAGAUUCUCCCUCUCUGUCAUGAUAACGUUGAGGACAAUGUUUUGUUCAUAUUUACUUUUUUGUUAUAUAGUAAUUGAUAUUUGUUAUGGUGCACAUGCAAGUACAAUCGAAUCAAAAAAAGGAAAAAAGUUCGAUUCCAAGGCAUAGUAAUAUCCCAGAUAGUGCAAUCGAGGUUCUGCCAACUCCUCAAUGACAAUAUUUAGAGCAUCAUAGUGGUCCCAUUUCAAUUGAAAUGAGUUUUAUGUCGCCAGUUCCAUAGGGCAAUUUUGUCACUGCCUGUAGAAGCUAAUUACUAUUCCAUGAAGAGUUUGUUUGAUGUCAUAGAUUCAUGUUUAAUAUUAGACUUAACAUGUAUUAGUGCAGAUGAAACUAUAUGAGCAUGUUUGUGCAUGGAACAAGGUGUUGAAUUAUUCACUUUCUAGAGAGGCAAACUCUAUGCAUAUUGAAUUAUUCACUUUAUUAUUGCCUUCUUUGCCUUCUUUGUGAUUGAACUAUGGCUAUCCAUUUUUGUUGACAGGAGUUAUCUUCAUUAAAUUGUGAUAAAGUCCUUGUUAGUUGUGGUAUGGCAAUUCUGUCGACACUUAGUCAAAGAGUGCUUUUUUUUAGGAUGGAUUCCACUGUGUACAAGAAGUUUAAGCCAACUAAAAUGAAGUUUUAGAUGUCCAUAAAUAUGAAUCAUGAAGCAUAUUCCUGGACUAGGAAAAGGAGAUCAAAAUGUUUCAAACAACCAUCAACUAUUGGCAACAAAAAUAACAUAUGAUCAAUUACACUAAAGAGAGAACUACAACAUCCAUCUGCUUCCCAAACUACACCAAAAAAGAUAGAAUUAACCGAGUAUACUAUGAUGUGUCCUUCUCCUUUGUUUCUCGCUCAGUAGGUGGUUUUCCACUAUGGACAGUCACGUUCAAGUUCGCAGAGAUCAAUAGUUAUUCGUCGUUAUUAAGCCGCACUUGAGAUUUGAAAGUUCGAGACAUAUCGUCAACUUCUGUGUGUGCCACUAGUUUAGCUAAAGAAGUCUCCAACACCCCCUAUAGCCAAGGCAAACUUUAGAGUUCUUUGAAAUACUCAAUUUCGAGCAACACCCCCUAUAGCCAAGGCAAACUUAUAGCCAAGCCAGUAUCGUUUUACAUGUCAAAUAAUGAACUCACACGCCAAACAAUACUCCAUUUCUAAUUCACUCCAAAGCAUGAAAUUGUUAAUAUGUACAGGAUAAGCCAAAGCAUGAAAUUGUCAAUAAGCACAUGCCAAACAAUAAUCAAUUUCGAGCCCUUUUAAUUCACUGUGGACAAAUCCAAAUUACUAAUACAUGCUAAGUUAAAACUCAAACCCACAGCAGAGUCCAUACUGAAAAGCACAAAAAAUUUUAAAACCCAACAAAUGAAGUCAAUAAACCAUACCUCUUUUAAAACACAAGUCAAAUGAUUGAUGAACGCGUUCCUGAAAACGCAUGUCAAAACUCAAACCCACAUCAGAAUCCACUGAAAAGUACAAUAAAUUAUAAAACCCAAUAAAUAUAAACCAUACCCCUAAGCUUUUGAUGGAUCUAACUUUCUUCGUUAGUGUUAUUCAAAACCAUUUGUCUUAGAAGGAUCGAUUUGUUUGAACAACAAAUAAGCUUGCGAAAUUUUAAAAGAACACAAGACAAACGAUAUGUUUUUGCCCCAGAAUAGGGCCCAGAUAUUCUGUCUUUCAACUUAGUAACCUGUUGAGCAUCUACCAUUAGAUUAUGUUCUAGAUCUGCUAAUAUCAACAAAAAAUCAUUAAAAAAGUUCUUUGUUGCCUUUUAUUUUACAAAAACUGUAAUCAAAAGUAUCUCGCAAUCUUAGUGACUGCACAAGCAAUCAAAAACCUCACAAAGAUAGAGAUUGAACCCACAAAAAGUUAAUUUCAGAUUACAAAUUUACUCAAGAAAAAAUCAUAUUGCUUAGAUGAAGGAAGAGAUGAAAGAUCUAAGAAACUCAAAAGUCUCACACACUAAGUGAAUAAGAAAAGGCGAGAGCAAGUAUAUAUCUGUCCAGCCAAAAAGUCAUGAUCCAAGGGUCAUAAAGUAGCCUCGUUGACGGCAUAUUUCAAUCGUUCUUUGUCAAGCGAUUUAUUUUUCUCGCGUACUUUACAAAUCCAAUGCUUGAGGAUGAAAGGUCAUUGGGAACAACACUUGUUAAUGACUUUUAAGUUAAAUGUUUGCGUUUCAAUUAUACAUUUCUUUUUAGUUUGUUGUUAUUCCAUGAUAAUGACACAUGUUACGUUAUUAGAAAUAUAAGUAUUAAUGAGAAUACUACAAGUACUGUUACUGAACUUAUAAAAGGGAGAUGAGAAUGACAUAAGUGUUAUGUUUGUUACAAACUUUCAUGAGAACGAAACAAACAUCAUUAUUGGCAUGAAAAUGUUUAUAUUCGUCAGGGGGUCCAAUGUUUGAGAUCAUUGUACUGGAAUGAAACCAAAAUAUAGAAGAAAUCAAUAGAACAGCACAAGAGCUGUUACUAAAAUGAAAACAACCAUUCUGUGUCCUAUCUAUAAAUAUGAGUUGAGAAAUAUGCUCAUUAAUUAUCAGUCUAGCCUCCCAAUGAUGGCACAACUAUCGUUAUGAUUGUAAUUUACUUGUCCAUAAGAAUGACACUUGUGCUGUUACUAAGAUAAGAACGUCUAUAAGAACUUUACAACUAUCAUUAUACUUAUAAAUAUACUUAUCUAUGAAAAUGGCACUUGUGUUGUUGCUGAGAUGAAAGCGUUUAUGAGAAUGACACAACUACCAUUAUAUUUACUUUACAAGUGUCCAUAAGAACUGCACAACUUAAGGUGUCCAAUUCUAAAGGUUGUAGCUUUGGAAACAAACGAAAAUAAAUGAGAAAUCAAUAGAACAUCUCAAGUGACGAUAUUGAUAAUAAAACAGCACUUGUGUCAUUCUAUCUAUAAUUACAAGUUUAAGAAGCCACGACCAUCCCUGCCUCAAGAAAUAAUAAGUUGAACUCAAUUAAGUUGCAAGAUGGACAUGAAUUUUUAAAAAAAAAAAUUGAGAGAUAUGCUCAUUAAUUUUAUUUUGUUGAAAAUAAUAGAAUCACUUGUACUUUCAACAACUUUAUAUCAAAUAAUUUACAUAAUUUCAAUUGUUCUUUGCUAGGUGAUUUAUUUUUCUCACGUACUUUACAGAUCCAAUGCUUGAGGAUGAAAGGUCAUUGGGAAUGACACUUAUGUUGUUAUUGAAAUGAAAAGUUCUAAGAGAACGGAACAAGUACAACUUAGAGGAUGAAAAUGUCAUUGAGAACGACAUUUAUGCCGUUACUGAGAUGAAAAGUUUUAAAAGAACGGCACUACCAAAAUAUAAUUUUUCUAUGAGAAUGGCACUUGUGCUGUUACUGUAAAGAAAACGAUACUUAUUGGUUUGUAUCUUUAUGGACUUAUGUCUCAAGAAAAAGGCAUAAGUGUCAUUACUGGACUUAUAAGCGUAAAUGAGAACGACACAAGUGAACUUAGUCCAAUACUCCAUAAACAUGAGUAUGAGCAAUCAUGAUCCGUUCGAGCCCCGAUAUUCGAUAAGUUGGACUCAUUUAUGUUGCAAGAUGGACUUACCAUUUACAAAAUUUGAGAAAUAUGCUCAUUAAUCAUAUUUUCUAACAAAUAUACACAAUGACUGUGAUUUUACAAACUUGACACUGAUAAGUGCAUUUUUGUGCACUUAUUUAGUUCACAAACAUACUUAAAUACGAUCAAAGUGUUUGAAUUGAGGCUUAAUUUCAUUUAAUUCGUGCAUUGUAGGUUAUAUUAAUGGACAUGCUAGAAUCCACGAGAAAAGAUUCGAAAAAGGGCUAAAAUGAAGCAAAGUGAAAGUUCAAGGAUCAAAGCGCAAAUACCCAAAAGUUAAACUAAAAGGUGAAUCGAGAAUGCAAAUGAGCUAAGUAUCAACUCAGGGUUAAGAUGGGAUGAUCAGAUGAAGAAAGACGAGACAAAGGACAAGACGACAAAAAAUGAAAGUCUAGAGACCAAAGUGCAAUUAUCCAAAAGAAGAACCGAAGGAGUAAUCGAGGGUUUGAUUGAGCCAAGUACCAAUCGGAGACUUAUAUUAGUUGAUAGAAUGAGAAGAAUGAAGAAACGAGGUCAAAAUGGAAGAAAAUAAAGUUUGAGGACCAAAAUAGACAUUGUGGAAAAACUACUACUAAAAAACUAAUACUAUGCGGUUGCAUAAUAGUCCUUCCAUGUGGUCACAUGGAAGGUGAUCGAAAGUUUUCUAGCUCCAAGUUUUUCUUCUAUGCGGUCGCAUAGUGAUUUUCUAGGGGCCGUGCAGUUUCCCAUUUUCAUUAAAACUCUUUUGGAACUCGAUUUGGACACAAUAUAAAAGCCUAGACUCGUCAGAUUUUAGCGGAGAAGGCAUUGGAGGCAACAAAACACAUCUUGGACAAGAUUUUGAGCGAAAGCAACGAAGAAUUUCAUGAAGAUCAUCGAGAUUUCAUGCGAAUUCAUAACCCGGUAAUGUUUUAUCUUCAAAAAAUCAUGUAUUCUUUUAUUUUCUCCAUUUAGGCUAAAUAUUCUUGUACUAGGAGAUCGAUGAACC